GCCUGGCAUAGUGGCGCAUGUCUAUAAUCUCAGUGACUGGGGAAACUGAGGCUGGAGGAUCACAAGGUCAAAGCCAGCCUCAGCAACUUAAUGAGACCCUGUCUGAAAACAAAAAAAAGGUCUGGGGAUAUGGCUCCAUAGUCAAGUACCCCCUACAUUCAAUCCCCAGUUCCAAAAAAAGAAAAAGAAAAACCUUCCUAAACUUUAUACCUGGGCUUGAGGGUAUAGCUUGGGUAGAGCACUUACCUAGUGUGUACCCUGGGUUUAAUCCCCAGCACUGCAGAAAUAAAUAAAUAAAUAAAUAAAUACUCUAUACCUGAACUUGUCAUUAGAACAAAUUGUCUUUUCCUUUUAGAACUCCAUUUGUAAGCAUUAACCUUAGCAAAACAUACAGUGUCACUUUGUUAAAUGUACUAAUAUAGAAAUAAUAUUUCUGCCUAGUUUUUCUUUCAGUCUUAGAUGGAAAUUAUCAAUCUUUGAUGUUGUUGAAAAUUUUAUUGUGUUAUAUUUAUUGAGAG
rnacentral:lncRNA from 1 species